GCAGGGGUGACCGUCAGCAGCGUGAACAUGGAUGCGGGAACCUUUUGCGUCACUGCACCUCUUUGGAUGCUUUCACCUGGAGCAUCUUGGCUGUUCUUGCUCUGGAGUUGGCCAAGCAGGUCCGAUGGCUAAAUUCUUUGCACCCAUGUGGAAAACGUGCCAGACUUUGCCAGUUGGAGGGUCACCUUGCGGUGUUGCCCCUGCAUCAGCACUCGGUCCCUCCUGCAGCUGCAGCUGCACACUUCAGCAGCGGGAAGAAGCCACACUUCUUUCUGGGAGCAGACACUGAGCGUGCCCCAGAGAAUCAGUCUCCUAGCAAAGCCUCACAGUCCGAAGAAGACUUUGUGCCAUCAGAAGGAGGAGACUCCCUGUCCAGCCCCAGCCCCGAACCAGCCUCAGUCUCGCAGCAUUCACAGGGCAGCCUAGAGCAGCAGAAGUCCUUUAACGAAGCCGCUUCUCAAGUGCAAGAGGCGUUCCACGCCAGCAUCUCCAUGGCAUUCAACAU